UCGCUUUCCUCUACUCGCCGCUGCGCUUCGUGCCCCUGUACGUCGUGCUCGCAGUCGCCGCCUAUCGCCAGAUCGCCCCAGUUUGCCCAAUCAGUGAACAACGAAAGAAUAUGUAUCUUGGAUCAGACCCCAAUUCGUGGUCAGUGGAGAACAAUAUUGCAAUACUCUAGUAGACAAGGACGUCUGGAAGCACCAGCAACAUGUCAAGCAAUCAAGAUCUAGCGCUGCAUUUUCUCGUCAUCGGUUAUACUUUAUUCAUAAUUUGGACACUUUGAUUCAUCUUUACUGUUCAAUUUCCUACGAUCAACUAAUAUUCAUAAGGUGAACUCUUUAUUUUGGAAUUUUGGUAAUCAUAUUCACGGUCGUAUCGUAUUCAAAGUAUAUUGUAUUGCUAAGUGUGCUAAUUUUAUGUGUAUUAUGACUUGAUAUCCACGCAUAUGUGAUAGACAUGGGACCCCGGGUCAUUUUUGUCCUGGGU